UUAAGCGACUAAGCGUACACGGUGGAUGCCCUGGCAGUCAGAGGCGAUGAAGGACGUGCUAAUCUGCGAUAAGCGUCGGUAAGGUGAUAUGAACCGUUAUAACCGGCGAUUUCCGAAUGGGGAAACCCAGUGUGUUUCGACACACUAUCAUUAACUGAAUCCAUAGGUUAAUGAGGCGAACCGGGGGAACUGAAACAUCUAAGUACCCCGAGGAAAAGAAAUCAACCGAGAUUCCCCCAGUAGCGGCGAGCGAACGGGGAGGAGCCCAGAGCCUGAAUCAGUGUGUGUGUUAGUGGAAGCGUCUGGAAAGGCGCGCGAUACAGGGUGACAGCCCCGUACACAAAAAUGCACAUGCUGUGAGCUCGAUGAGUAGGGCGGGACACGUGGUAUCCUGUCUGAAUAUGGGGGGACCAUCCUCCAAGGCUAAAUACUCCUGACUGACCGAUAGUGAACCAGUACCGUGAGGGAAAGGCGAAAAGAACCCCGGCGAGGGGAGUGAAAAAGAACCUGAAACCGUGUACGUACAAGCAGUGGGAGCACGCUUAGGCGUGUGACUGCGUACCUUUUGUAUAAUGGGUCAGCGACUUAUAUUCUGUAGCAAGGUUAACCGAAUAGGGGAGCCGAAGGGAAACCGAGUCUUAACUGGGCGUUAAGUUGCAGGGUAUAGACCCGAAACCCGGUGAUCUAGCCAUGGGCAGGUUGAAGGUUGGGUAACACUAACUGGAGGACCGAACCGACUAAUGUUGAAAAAUUAGCGGAUGACUUGUGGCUGGGGGUGAAAGGCCAAUCAAACCGGGAGAUAGCUGGUUCUCCCCGAAAGCUAUUUAGGUAGCGCCUCGUGAAUUCAUCUCCGGGGGUAGAGCACUGUUUCGGCAAGGGGGUCAUCCCGACUUACCAACCCGAUGCAAACUGCGAAUACCGGAGAAUGUUAUCACGGGAGACACACGGCGGGUGCUAACGUCCGUCGUGAAGAGGGAAACAACCCAGACCGCCAGCUAAGGUCCCAAAGUCAUGGUUAAGUGGGAAACGAUGUGGGAAGGCCCAGACAGCCAGGAUGUUGGCUUAGAAGCAGCCAUCAUUUAAAGAAAGCGUAAUAGCUCACUGGUCGAGUCGGCCUGCGCGGAAGAUGUAACGGGGCUAAACCAUGCACCGAAGCUGCGGCAGCGACGCUGAUGCGUUGUUGGGUAGGGGAGCGUUCUGUAAGCCUGCGAAGGUGUGCUGUGAGGCAUGCUGGAGGUAUCAGAAGUGCGAAUGCUGACAUAAGUAACGAUAAAGCGGGUGAAAAGCCCGCUCGCCGGAAGACCAAGGGUUCCUGUCCAACGUUAAUCGGGGCAGGGUGAGUCGACCCCUAAGGCGAGGCCGAAAGGCGUAGUCGAUGGGAAACAGGUUAAUAUUCCUGUACUUGGUGUUACUGCGAAGGGGGGACGGAGAAGGCUAUGUUGGCCGGGCGACGGUUGUCCCGGUUUAAGCGUGUAGGCUGGUUUUCCAGGCAAAUCCGGAAAAUCAAGGCUGAGGCGUGAUGACGAGGCACUACGGUGCUGAAGCAACAAAUGCCCUGCUUCCAGGAAAAGCCUCUAAGCAUCAGGUAACAUCAAAUCGUACCCCAAACCGACACAGGUGGUCAGGUAGAGAAUACCAAGGCGCUUGAGAGAACUCGGGUGAAGGAACUAGGCAAAAUGGUGCCGUAACUUCGGGAGAAGGCACGCUGAUAUGUAGGUGAAGUCCCUCGCGGAUGGAGCUGAAAUCAGUCGAAGAUACCAGCUGGCUGCAACUGUUUAUUAAAAACACAGCACUGUGCAAACACGAAAGUGGACGUAUACGGUGUGACGCCUGCCCGGUGCCGGAAGGUUAAUUGAUGGGGUCAGCGCAAGCGAAGCUCUUGAUCGAAGCCCCGGUAAACGGCGGCCGUAACUAUAACGGUCCUAAGGUAGCGAAAUUCCUUGUCGGGUAAGUUCCGACCUGCACGAAUGGCGUAAUGAUGGCCAGGCUGUCUCCACCCGAGACUCAGUGAAAUUGAACUCGCUGUGAAGAUGCAGUGUACCCGCGGCAAGACGGAAAGACCCCGUGAACCUUUACUAUAGCUUGACACUGAACAUUGAGCCUUGAUGUGUAGGAUAGGUGGGAGGCUUUGAAGUGUGGACGCCAGUCUGCAUGGAGCCGACCUUGAAAUACCACCCUUUAAUGUUUGAUGUUCUAACGUUGACCCGUAAUCCGGGUUGCGGACAGUGUCUGGUGGGUAGUUUGACUGGGGCGGUCUCCUCCUAAAGAGUAACGGAGGAGCACGAAGGUUGGCUAAUCCUGGUCGGACAUCAGGAGGUUAGUGCAAUGGCAUAAGCCAGCUUGACUGCGAGCGUGACGGCGCGAGCAGGUGCGAAAGCAGGUCAUAGUGAUCCGGUGGUUCUGAAUGGAAGGGCCAUCGCUCAACGGAUAAAAGGUACUCCGGGGAUAACAGGCUGAUACCGCCCAAGAGUUCAUAUCGACGGCGGUGUUUGGCACCUCGAUGUCGGCUCAUCACAUCCUGGGGCUGAAGUAGGUCCCAAGGGUAUGGCUGUUCGCCAUUUAAAGUGGUACGCGAGCUGGGUUUAGAACGUCGUGAGACAGUUCGGUCCCUAUCUGCCGUGGGCGCUGGAGAACUGAGGGGGGCUGCUCCUAGUACGAGAGGACCGGAGUGGACGCAUCACUGGUGUUCGGGUUGUCAUGCCAAUGGCACUGCCCGGUAGCUAAAUGCGGAAGAGAUAAGUGCUGAAAGCAUCUAAGCACGAAACUUGCCCCGAGAUGAGUUCUCCCUGACUCCUUGAGAGUCCUGAAGGAACGUUGAAGACGACGACGUUGAUAGGCCGGAUGUGUAAGCGCAGCGAUGCGUUGAGCUAACCGGUACUAAUGAACCGUGAGGCUUAACCUU
rnacentral:rRNA from 1 species